UACGGUAGGCAGCAGUGGGGAAUAUUGGCCAAUUGUCGCAAUCGUGAUCCAGCCAUUCCGCGAGAGUGAUGAAGGCCCUAGGGUUGUAAAGCUCUUUCACCGGUGAAGAUAAUGACGGUACCCGGAGAAGAAGCCCCGGCUAAUUUUGUGCCAGCAGCCGCGGUAAUGCGAAGGGGGCUAGCGUUGUUCGGAAUUACUGGGUGUAAAGCGCAUGUGGGGGGUAUUAAAGUCAGGGGGGAAAUCCCAGAGCUCAACUGGGGAAGUACAGUAGAUAAUGGGUGUAUAGAGUAUGGAAGAGGUGAGUGGAAUUCCGAGUGUAGAGGUGAAAUUCGUAGAUUUUCGGAGGAUCACCAGU
rnacentral:rRNA from 1 species